rnacentral:rRNA from 1 species
GACGAACGCUGGCGGCGUGCCUAACACAUGCAAGUCGAGCGGGGUUGAAGCGAGGGGUAACUCGGACUUCUACCUAGCGGCGGACGGGUGAGUAACGCGUGGGCAACCUGCCUCAAGGUUUGGGAUAACAGCUCGAAAGGGCUGCUAAUACCGGAUAUGCCUGUGGCCUCGCAUGGGGCUAUGAGCAAAGGGGAAACCCGCCUUGAGAUGGGCCCGCGUCCCAUCAGCUAGUUGGUGAGGUGAAGGCUCACCAAGGCGACGACGGGUAGCCGGCCUGAGAGGGUGACCGGCCACACUGGGACUGAGACACGGCCCAGACUCCUACGGGGGGCAGCAGUGGGGGAUCUUGCACAAUGGGCGAAAGCCUGAUGCAGCGACGCCGCGUGAGCGAAGAAGGCCUCGGUUGUAAAGCUCUGUCUGGAGGGACGAAACAAAUGACGGUACCUCCGGAGGAAGCCACGGCUAACUACGUAGCCAGCAGCCGCGGUAAACUCGUUCUA